AUUGAAUGCUGGCGGCAUGCCUUACACAUGCAAGUCGAACGGUAACAGGUCUUCGGAUGCUGACGAGUGGCGAACGGGUGAGGAAUACAUCGGAACGUGCCCGAUCGUGGGGGAUAACGAAGCGAAAGCUUUGCUAAUACCGCAUAAGAUCUCAGGAUGAAAGCAGGGGACCGCAAGGCCUUGCGCGAACGGAGCGGCCGAUGGCAGAUGAGGUAGUUGGUGGGAUAAAAGCUUACCAAGCCGCCGAGCUUUAGCUGGUCUGAGAGGACGACCAGCCACACUGGGACUGAGACACGGCCCAGACUCCUCCGGGAGGCAGCAGUGGGGAAUUUUGGACAAUGGGCGCAAGCCUGAUCCAGCCAUGCCGCGUGCAGGAUGAAGGCCUUCGGGUUGUAAACUGCUUUUGUACGGAACGAAGAGAUUCUGGUUAAUACCUGGGGUCCAUGACGGUACCGUAAGAAUAAGCACCGGCUAACUACGUGCCAGCCGCCGCCGUAACAC
rnacentral:rRNA from 1 species